rnacentral:rRNA from 1 species
UACAGAGGGGGCAAGCGUUGUUCGGAAUUACUGGGCGUAAAGGGCGCGUAGGCGGCCUGUUAAGUCGAACGUGAAAUCCCCGGGCUCAACCCGGGAACUGCGUCCGAAACUGGCAGGCUUGAAUCCGGGAGAGGGAUGUGGAAUUCCAGGUGUAGCGGUGAAAUGCGUAGAUAUCCGGAAGAACACCGGUGGCGAAGGCGGUCUGCUGGGCAGUUGCUGACACUGAGGCGCGACAGUGUGGGGAGCAAACAGG